rnacentral:rRNA from 1 species
GGUUAAGCGACUAAGCGUACACGGUGGAUGCCCUGGCAGUCAGAGGCGAUGAAGGACGUGCUAAUCUGCGAUAAGCGUCGGUGAGGUGAUAUGAACCGUUAUAACCGGCGAUUUCCGAAUGGGGAAACCCAGUGUGUUUCGACACACUAUCAUUAACUGAAUCCAUAGGUUAAUGAGGCGAACCGGGGGAACUGAAACAUCUAAGUACCCCGAGGAAAAGAAAUCAACCGAGAUUCCCCCAGUAGCGGCGAGCGAACGGGGAGGAGCCCAGAGCCUGAAUCAGUGUGUGUGUUAGUGGAAGCGUCUGGAAAGGCGUGCGAUACAGGGUGACAGCCCCGUACACAAAAAUGCACAUAUUGUGAGCUCGAUGAGUAGGGCGGGACACGUGGUAUCCUGUCUGAAUAUGGGGGGACCAUCCUCCAAGGCUAAAUACUCCUGACUGACCGAUAGUGAACCAGUACCGUGAGGGAAAGGCGAAAAGAACCCCGGCGAGGGGAGUGAAAAAGAACCUGAAACCGUGUACGUACAAGCAGUGGGAGCCUCUUAAUGGGGUGACUGCGUACCUUUUGUAUAAUGGGUCAGCGACUUAUAUUCUGUAGCAAGGUUAACCGAAUAGGGGAGCCGAAGGGAAACCGAGUCUUAACUGGGCGUUAAGUUGCAGGGUAUAGACCCGAAACCCGGUGAUCUAGCCAUGGGCAGGUUGAAGGUUGGGUAACACUAACUGGAGGACCGAACCGACUAAUGUUGAAAAAUUAGCGGAUGACUUGUGGCUGGGGGUGAAAGGCCAAUCAAACCGGGAGAUAGCUGGUUCUCCCCGAAAGCUAUUUAGGUAGCGCCUCGUGAAUUCAUCUCCGGGGGUAGAGCACUGUUUCGGCAAGGGGGUCAUCCCGACUUACCAACCCGAUGCAAACUGCGAAUACCGGAGAAUGUUAUCACGGGAGACACACGGCGGGUGCUAACGUCCGUCGUGAAGAGGGAAACAACCCAGACCGCCAGCUAAGGUCCCAAAGUCAUGGUUAAGUGGGAAACGAUGUGGGAAGGCCCAGACAGCCAGGAUGUUGGCUUAGAAGCAGCCAUCAUUUAAAGAAAGCGUAAUAGCUCACUGGUCGAGUCGGCCUGCGCGGAAGAUGUAACGGGGCUAAACCAUGCACCGAAGCUGCGGCAGCGACACUAUGUGUUGUUGGGUAGGGGAGCGUUCUGUAAGCCUGUGAAGGUGGCCUGUGAGGGUUGCUGGAGGUAUCAGAAGUGCGAAUGCUGACAUAAGUAACGAUAAAGCGGGUGAAAAGCCCGCUCGCCGGAAGACCAAGGGUUCCUGUCCAACGUUAAUCGGGGCAGGGUGAGUCGACCCCUAAGGCGAGGCCGAAAGGCGUAGUCGAUGGGAAACAGGUUAAUAUUCCUGUACUUGGUGUUACUGCGAAGGGGGGACGGAGAAGGCUAUGUUGGCCGGGCGACGGUUGUCCCGGUUUAAGCGUGUAGGCUGGUUUUCCAGGCAAAUCCGGAAAACCAAGGCUGAGGCGUGAUGACGAGGCACUACGGUGCUGAAGCGACAAAUGCCCUGCUUCCAGGAAAAGCCUCUAAGCAUCAGGUAACAUCAAAUCGUACCCAAAACCGACACAGGUGGUCAGGUAGAGAAUACCAAGGCGCUUGAGAGAACUCGGGUGAAGGAACUAGGCAAAAUGGUGCCGUAACUUCGGGAGAAGGCACGCUGAUAUGUAGGUGAAGCGACUUGCUCGUGGAGCUGAAAUCAGUCGAAGAUACCAGCUGGCUGCAACUGUUUAUUAAAAACACAGCACUGUGCAAACACGAAAGUGGACGUAUACGGUGUGACGCCUGCCCGGUGCCGGAAGGUUAAUUGAUGGGGUUAGCGGUAACGCGAAGCUCUUGAUCGAAGCCCCGGUAAACGGCGGCCGUAACUAUAACGGUCCUAAGGUAGCGAAAUUCCUUGUCGGGUAAGUUCCGACCUGCACGAAUGGCGUAAUGAUGGCCAGGCUGUCUCCACCCGAGACUCAGUGAAAUUGAACUCGCUGUGAAGAUGCAGUGUACCCGCGGCAAGACGGAAAGACCCCGUGAACCUUUACUAUAGCUUGACACUGAACAUUGAGCCUUGAUGUGUAGGAUAGGUGGGAGGCUUUGAAGUGUGGACGCCAGUCUGCAUGGAGCCGACCUUGAAAUACCACCCUUUAAUGUUUGAUGUUCUAACGUUGGCCCGUAAUCCGGGUUGCGGACAGUGUCUGGUGGGUAGUUUGACUGGGGCGGUUUCCUCCUAAAGAGUAACGGAGGAGCACGAAGGUUGGCUAAUCCUGGUCGGACAUCAGGAGGUUAGUGCAAUGGCAUAAGCCAGCUUGACUGCGAGCGUGACGGCGCGAGCAGGUGCGAAAGCAGGUCAUAGUGAUCCGGUGGUUCUGAAUGGAAGGGCCAUCGCUCAACGGAUAAAAGGUACUCCGGGGAUAACAGGCUGAUACCGCCCAAGAGUUCAUAUCGACGGCGGUGUUUGGCACCUCGAUGUCGGCUCAUCACAUCCUGGGGCUGAAGUAGGUCCCAAGGGUAUGGCUGUUCGCCAUUUAAAGUGGUACGCGAGCUGGGUUUAGAACGUCGUGAGACAGUUCGGUCCCUAUCUGCCGUGGGCGCUGGAGAACUGAGGGGGGCUGCUCCUAGUACGAGAGGACCGGAGUGGACGCAUCACUGGUGUUCGGGUUGUCAUGCCAAUGGCACUGCCCGGUAGCUAAAUGCGGAAGAGAUAAGUGCUGAAAGCAUCUAAGCACGAAACUUGCCCCGAGAUGAGUUCUCCCUGACUCCUUGAGGGUCCUGAAGGAACGUUGAAGACGACGACGUUGAUAGGCCGGGUGUGUAAGCGCAGCGAUGCGUUGAGCUAACCGGUACUAAUGAACCGUGAGGCUUAACCUU